GUUCCUUCAAGAGCAAGUGAAAGCUAGUGAAGAGGAAACAAACAGUACAGUUUAAAUCCCAUUAUAGAGGUAUUGAGAGGAUGCGUUGGGAGCAGGCAAGAAGAAUUACCAUGGGAAAAUCUGAGAAACAUUUUUAAGGGGAUGAAGAAUAGGAAAUUAUCGUAAGACACACUGGGAGAGAUACUGCUCAUGUCAAUUGGAAGAGCAACAUAAAAACAUGAAGAUGGCAACAAGGGCAAUGAAGUCCACCUUGAAGAACGUAAGAGAGACAAUCCUUGAAGAGAGCAGACUCAUUCCCCACAGUGUCUCCUUUCCAGACUGUGCCUCAUUUUUUAAGUGCCCAGCAUUGGUAAUGGACAGGCAAUAGUCUUCUGACGACCAUCACCUCGAAUUGGAACUCAAGUCUGAAUUACAUGUGUUCCAUAAUCAAUUCCAUAUAUAUUUCUACUUCACACGGACCUUAAUUUGCCUAAUGGAAACAACCGGCGGUCACACCAAGCAGUGAGCAGGAAUGACAGUGUUGAAUGCUUCUCCUCAUGACUAGAGAGAGAAUUACUUUCAUUCUGUCAGAGGGGCAUGGAGCCUUAUUUUACUUCACCCCACACCCAAUCCACAUAUAUACUAUUUUCUCUAUAUUCAACACAGAUCCAGAAUCUUACUAUCCCUUACUACCUCCUCGGCUGCCUAUUUGGUCAAGUGACCAUCAUAUCUAGCCUGGAGUCUUGCUGUGGUUUUCUAACUGGUGUCUCUGCUCCACGUUUACCCUUCAACAGCAGUCUAUUAACACAGCAGCCAAAGUGACACUUUUUAAGUGUCACUGUGGUACUAUUCUACUCUCUGCUGGAAACCCUGCCAUGCCUCCCCAUUUAGCUCAGAGUGAUGGCCAAAGUCUUUCUCAUGAGCCCUAAAUCCCCAUUCCAUGAGCCUAUAAUUCGCCUUCUACUCUCUCCUUUCUUACUUGCUACAGCCACAGAAGACUUCUUGAUAUUCCCCAAAUAUUGUAAACAUCUUCUCAUCUGAGGGUCUUUCCUCCAGCUGGCCCUUCUACCUGGAACACUCCUUCCUCACAUAUUCUCUUGGAAAAAAUUUCCUCACAUUUUUUCUAGAAUGCAAAUUCAAAUCUCAUCUCCUCAGUGAGGUCUACUGUGACUGUCCUAUUUAAUGCUGCUACCUGAACAUAACCCUACAUUACUACUCUCCUCCAUAUUUUGCACAACUGUUUUUCUUUUCACAAUACUUAGUGUCUAUAUACUCUCUCUAUAUAAUUUACAGUAUUAACCAGCUUAGUCUAUCAUGCUAUGGUACCAAAUGACCUCAAUCAAUCACUUACAAAAACAUUUUAUUUCCAUGGACUUGACUUCAGUGUCGUCUUCAUUCUGAAUAUUCCAGGCUGAAUUGCCUUUCUCCUGAUAGAAAAGAGCAGAAACUUCUUCUUGGAAGUAGCAUCUGUUACUUCCACUGACAUUUCAUUAACUAAAACAAAUAAUAUGACCAAGCUAGAGGUAAGAAAUGUAGAAAGUGUAAUCCUCCCAUAGAAAAGGACUUAAUACUCAUUAAUGUUUAUUAUUUAUUAUUUGUUCCCCCAAGUAGUACAUUAGGGACAGGAUUCUUCAUAUAUUUUUCUCCUGAUAAAUAUUAAAUACCUAAAGUUUUGCAUACAGUAGCU
rnacentral:lncRNA from 10 species